rnacentral:rRNA from 1 species
AACGAACGCUGGCGGCAGGCCUAACACAUGCAAGUCGAGCGAGACCUUCGGGUUUAGCGGCGGACGGGUGAGUAACGCGUGGGAAUAUGCCCUUUGGUUCGGAAUAGCCCCGGGAAACUGGGAGUAAUACCGGAUACGGUCUACGGACGAAAGAUUUAUCGCCGAAGGAUUAGCCCGCGUUGGAUUAGGUAGUUGGUGGGGUAAUGGCCUACCAAGCCGACGAUCCAUAGCUGGUUUGAGAGGAUGAUCAGCCACACUGGGACUGAGACACGGCCCAGACUCCUACGGGAGGCAGCAGUGGGGAAUCUUAGACAAUGGGGGAAACCCUGAUCUAGCCAUGCCGCGUGAGCGAUGAAGGCCUUAGGGUUGUAAAGCUCUUUCAGCUGGGAAGAUAAUGACUGUACCAGCAGAAGAAGCCCCGGCUAACUCCGUGCCAGCAGCCGCGGUAAAAC